UACGUAGGGUGCAAGCGUUGUCCGGAAUUAUUGGGCGUAAAGAGCUCGUAGGCGGUCUGUCGCGUCUGCUGUGAAAACUCAGGGCUUAACCCUGAGCUUGCAGUGGGUACGGGCAGACUAGAGUGCGGUAGGGGAGACUGGAAUUCCUGGUGUAGCGGUGAAAUGCGCAGAUAUCAGGAGGAACACCGGUGGCGAAGGCGGGGUCUCU
rnacentral:rRNA from 1 species